rnacentral:rRNA from 1 species
AUUGAACGCUGGCGGCAGGCUUAACACAUGCAAGUCGAGCGGGGUGAUGGUGCUUGCACUAUCACUUAGCGGCGGACGGGUGAGUAAUGCUUAGGAAUCUGCCUAUUAGUGGGGGACAACAUUUCGAAAGGAAUGCUAAUACCGCAUACGUCCUACGGGAGAAAGCAGGGGAUCUUCGGACCUUGCGCUAAUAGAUGAGCCUAAGUCGGAUUAGCUAGUUGGUGGGGUAAAGGCCUACCAAGGCGACGAUCUGUAGCGGGUCUGAGAGGAUGAUCCGCCACACUGGGACUGAGACACGGCCCAGACUCCUACGGGAGGCAGCAGUGGGGAAUAUUGGACAAUGGGCGCAAGCCUGAUCCAGCCAUGCCGCGUGUGUGAAGAAGGCCUUAUGGUUGUAAAGCACUUUAAGCGAGGAGGAGGCUACUUUAGUUAAUACCUAGAGAUAGUGGACGUUACUCGCAGAAUAAGCACCGGCUAACUCUGUGCCAGCAGCCGCGGUAAUACAGAGGGUGCAAGCGUUAAUCGGAUUUACUGGGCGUAAAGCGCGCGUAGGCGGCUAAUUAAGUCAAAUGUGAAAUCCCCGAGCUUAACUUGGGAAUUGCAUUCGAUACUGGUUAGCUAGAGUGUGGGAGAGGAUGGUAGAAUUCCAGGUGUAGCGGUGAAAUGCGUAGAGAUCUGGAGGAAUACCGAUGGCGAAGGCAGCCAUCUGGCCUAACACUGACGCUGAGGUGCGAAAGCAUGGGGAGCAAACAGGAUUAGAUACCCUGGUAGUCCAUGCCGUAAACGAUGUCUACUAGCCGUUGGGGCCUUUGAGGCUUUAGUGGCGCAGCUAACGCGAUAAGUAGACCGCCUGGGGAGUACGGUCGCAAGACUAAAACUCAAAUGAAUUGACGGGGGCCCGCACAAGCGGUGGAGCAUGUGGUUUAAUUCGAUGCAACGCGAAGAACCUUACCUGGCCUUGACAUAGUAAGAACUUUCCAGAGAUGGAUUGGUGCCUUCGGGAACUUACAUACAGGUGCUGCAUGGCUGUCGUCAGCUCGUGUCGUGAGAUGUUGGGUUAAGUCCCGCAACGAGCGCAACCCUUUUCCUUAUUUGCCAGCGAGUAAUGUCGGGAACUUUAAGGAUACUGCCAGUGACAAACUGGAGAAAGGCGGGGACGACGUCAAGUCAUCAUGGCCCUUACGGCCAGGGCUACACACGUGCUACAAUGGUCGGUACAAAGGGUUGCUACCUAGCGAUAGGAUGCUAAUCUCAAAAAGCCGAUCGUAGUCCGGAUUGGAGUCUGCAACUCGACUCCAUGAAGUCNGAAUCGCUAGUAAUCGCGGAUCAGAAUGCCGCGGUGAAUACUUUCCCGGGGCU